AUGGAAAAGCAUGAGAGUUUGGAGUGCGACUCAAAGACUCGAGAGUCCGAGCUUGCCUCGGCUCUCGAAAGUGCCAAAGCCGCCAAGUCCAAGGCCCACAAGGCCCUUCAGGAGGUUGAGGAUGUGAAGAAAAUAGCGGCGGGUAAGGCAUUUUUCAUGCAAAGCAAGCAUGUUAAUGUAAACUACCUGACACUUACCCGAAUUCAGAGCUCUCUAGGGGCGUUUGUAGAUCUGCCUUGCAGUGUAUCCGAUGCCGCUGCAUUCUACCGUGGAGAGGAGGGGAGCUCAACGGAGAAGGUCUUCUGGUCUCAGUACGCUGAGGCCGGCCAUCCGGUGCCCCCUAGCGACCAGCUGAAGCGGCUGGUCGAGCUCCAUAAGGUAGCCGAGCAGGCCAUGAAGGGCCUCAUAGUCCGGCUAUGGCCUGGAGAGGCCAUGCCUGGGAGCCACUUCGGCCUCGUGCGGCGGCUGGUGGAUGCGUGCCCCUUGUUGGAGGUCGUCAAGCGCUCCGCCUGUAUUGAAGGUGCUCGUCGGGCCCUUGCCUGCGCAAAGGGCACUGGGGCAGGCUGGAUGCGGAGAAGCUUAUCACUGAUGCGCCGCCAGCGGGCAAGGAGUACCGUACUCCCGAGAUGUACUAUAAGACUGUCCUGA
rnacentral:rRNA from 1 species